CCAGCUCCAAGAGUGUAUAUUAAUACUGCUGUAGUUAAAACGCCCGUAGUAUACCUAAGAGUGGGUGUGUAGUAAUUAGUUUUGCCAGAGGACGGUUGGCGAGAGUUUAUCACUCUUGUUUACCUACUUUUGGUAGACUUUAGUCGGGCUGGACCUUUGGUCCUCGUCUGACAGUUGCUACGUGCUUACUUACCACGGUUCAUCCGUGAGGCCCUUGGCUUGCAACUGUAAAUAAAUCGUUGUGCUUAAAGCGGGCUAUGAUACUCUGCCAGAGCGAUUUAGCAUGGGACUGCAGAGUAGCUGUAUUUGAGUGAAGGUUGCACCUCGGUGUGGCUGGAGCUUGGUACAGCGCUUGUAAUGGAGCUCAGGGUGAGGCCCCGGGUACCAUGAGGCUAGAGGUGAAAUUCUGAGACCCUCAUGUGACCAACUAAGGCGAAAGCUGUCGUGGGCCACCACAAGCUCGUCUAUCAGGGACGAAAGUUGGGGGAUCGAAGACGAUUAGAUACCGUCGUAGUCCCAGCUAUAAACGAUACCAACCGAGUAUUUGGGAAGACACUAUCCCAGCGAUCUUCUCAGAACUCAAGGGAAACCUUAAGUCUUUGGGUUCUGGGGGGAGUAUAGUCGCAAGACCGAAACUUAAAGGAAUUGACGGAAAGGCACCACCAGGAGUGGAGUCUGCGGCUUAAUUCGACUCAAC
rnacentral:rRNA from 1 species